rnacentral:rRNA from 1 species
CCCUUAGAUGUCCUGGGCUGCACGCGCGCUACACUGAUGUGUCCAGUAAGCACCUAACCUAUUCCGAGAGGAGCGGGUAACCUUAGCAAAGCACAUCGUGAUGGGGAUAGAUUAUUGCAAUUAUUAGUCUUGAACGAGGAAUUCCUAGUAAGCACAAGUCAUCAGCUUGUGUUGAUUACGUCCCUGCCCCUUGUACACACCGCCCGUCGCUCCUACCGAUUGAAUGUUCCGGUGAGCUCUUCGGACUGCGCGGUCUGCAGUUUCUGCGUUCCGUGCGGAAAGUUGUGCAAACCUUAACAUUUAGAGGAAGGAGAAGUCGUAACA